rnacentral:ncRNA from 4 species
AUGCACCUGGGCAAGGAUUCUGGA